GAUGAACGCUGGCGGCGUGCCUAAUACAUGCAAGUCGAGCGAACAGAUGAGGAGCUUGCUCCUCUGACGUUAGCGGCGGACGGGGGAGUAACACGUGGAUAACCUACCUAUAAGACUGGGAUAACUUCGGGAAACCGGAGCUAAUACCGGAUAAUAUAUUGAACCGCAUGGUUCAAUAGUGAAAGACGGUUUUGCUGUCACUUAUAGAUGGAUCCGCGCCGCAUUAGCUAGUUGGUAAGGUAACGGCUUACCAAGGCAACGAUGCGUAGCCGACCUGAGAGGGUGAUCGGCCACACUGGAACUGAGACACGGUCCAGACUCCUACGGGAGGCAGCAGUAGGGAAUCUUGCGCAAUGGGCGAAAGCCUGACGGAGCAACGCCGCGUGAGUGAUGAAGGUCUUCGGAUCGUAAAACUCUGUUAUUAGGGAAGAACAAAUGUGUAAGUAACUAUGCACGUAUUGACGGUACCUAAUCAGAAAGCCACGGCUAACUACGUG
rnacentral:rRNA from 1 species